CCUACGGGUGGCAGCAGUGAGGAAUAUUGGUCAAUGGACGCAAGUCUGAACCAGCCAUGCCGCGUGCAGGAAGACGGCUCUAUGAGUUGUAAACUGCUUUUGUACGAGGGUAAACGCAGAUACGCGUAUCUGUCUGAAAGUAUCUUACGAAUAAGGAUCGGCUAACUCCGUGCCAGCAGCCGCGGUAAUACGGAGGAUUCAAGCGUUAUCCGGAUUUAUUGGGUUUAAAGGGUUCGUAGGCGGUCGGAUAAGUUAGAGGGGAAAUCCCGAGGCUCAACUUCGGAAUUGCCUCUGAUACUGUUAGGCUAGAGAGUAGUGGCGGUAGGCGGAAUGUAUGGUGUAGCGGAGAAAUGCUUAGAGAUCAUACAGAAAACAGAUUGCGAAGGCAGCUUACCAAGCUACUUCUGACGUUGAGGCACGAAAGCGUGGGGAGCAAACAGGAUUAGAUACCCCAGUAGUC
rnacentral:rRNA from 1 species